UACAGAGGUCUCAAGCGUUGUUCGGAUUCAUUGGGCGUAAAGGGUGUGUAGGUGGCGCGCUAAGUCGGGUGUGAAAUUUCGGAGCUUAACUCCGAAACUGCAUUCGAUACUGGCGUGCUUGAGGACUGGAGAGGAGACUGGAAUUCAUGGUGUAGCAGUGAAAUGCGUAGAGAUCAUGAGGAAGACCAGUGGCGAAGGCGGCUCUCUAGUACGGUACUGACGCUGAGACGCGAAAGCGUGGGGAGCGAACAGG
rnacentral:rRNA from 1 species